UAUUUUGUGUGGGAAAUGUUUGUUUUUUGUGUUGAUUUCCCUGAUCAGUAGUCUCUGCUCUCUUGAGCUGUUUUUCGUCGGUUGCCAUGGCAACGGGUCGUGUGUAAUACCAACACACAGAGCGAGAAAAGGCAGAAUAAAAGUUGUUGGAGCUAUUUUUUCUUUAUUUCAUUAUCCAUUUGAACUUUGUUACUUUAUUCACAAAGAGAAUUGAUGUCACAAAGAGGAAAAAAGGCAAUUCCUAACAGAGAAAUAGAUUGAGCAGUUUUUUGAGUUGAUCAGACAAAGCAUCAAGAAUGAGUGAGAGCAGCACCGCAAUGUCUUCUCAGAAGGAACCACAACCGACCUUUCCUAGAGAGGCAGAGAAGCUGGAACGAAUCUUGAAAAGAGUCAGCGUGAUAUCGCUUGAGAUACAGACACUCAAUAAAACGAUAGAGGACAUGAAGAGUCAAAUUACCAACAUGGAACAAGCUCUACGUGAAAAAGAUGAAGAGCUAAAAAGCAAGAGUGAAGCAAACACCACCUUGGAGCUGACAAUCGCAACCCUGAUGCAGGAGAACACGACCUUGAGGCAGCAGAGCACAAUUUAUGAGAAAAUGAGCGACAUCUUUCAGCACAAAAACGAAGACUUGGAGCGAAAAAGCACGACUGACAAGCUGAGGAGCGACACGCUGGAGCAGACAAUGUUCCGUGAGCAGGACGAUCACCGUGAACAUUUGAGGGAAUUACGCGCCCUUGAACAGGACUUCGAGCGCUUAGCGGAGGCAAGCAAUAUCUUGAUGCGGGAGAAUUCCCACUUGUGGAAUCGUAAAGCCACCUUGCAGAAGAAAAUCACCACCUUGAAGAAGAAUAUCACAACCUUGAAGAAGAAUAUCACAACCUUGGAGCAGGAAAAUACCAUAUUGGAGGAGGAAAACACUGCCUUGGAGCGUAUAAAUACCGAUCUGCAGCUUUAAGUGGAACAGCUGAGCCAAAGGUUGAGGGACAGAGAGGAGCAGCAGAACCAGCAGCCAUCUGAAUUGGAAACACCCGAAGACAGUCAGUCUCUUUCAGACACGCCACAGGAGCAGCCAUCUGUAUUCAGACAUGUGGUCAGGGGCUUCACCAAUACAUUUGUGAAAAUGUACACAACAGGCACACUGAGGUAUUGGGUUGAACUUUAGUACGUCUAAAUAAAGAAGCGUCAUGAGGGCUCCAGGCUUCAUACUUGAUUAUUGGUUGCAGAAAAGCUUGAGGACAGCAGGAUUGCAGUGUCAGGAGCUUGACACUUGGGGGCUGAUGGCGGAAGAGUUAAUCACUUCAAAGAUGUUGGCAGGAGAGCUUGAGGCCCGCAGGACUGGGGUGCUAUGGAAACUUAACGCCAUCGAACUCAGGUCUCCUUCGUCACUAGACAAUCAGACUCGCUGGUCUCCGGACUGACCUCCAGGGCUUUGUGGCGARUCCCUUUGGUCUCUCGGCCGACCUCAAGGGUUUUUUGUGUGUCUCGUCGGACUUCCGGAGCCUCGUCAUGGGUCCCAUUGGCCUCCCGGUUCCUGCUCUGCCGCCGGCAGACCGGUCCCCACCUCAGGUGUUCGUCUGCCUCCCGAGCCGCUCGCUCUGCAGCUUCUCGACUUUUU